GAAGGGGGCGAGCGUUGUUCGGAUUUACUGGGCGUAAAGGGCGCGCAGGCGGCUCAUCAAGUCAGGCGUGAAAGCCCCGGGCUUAACCUGGGAGGUGCGUCUGGGACUGGUGGGCUAGAGAUCGGGAGAGGAGAGUGGAAUUCCCAGUGUAGAGGUGAAAUUCGUAGAUAUUGGGAAGAACACCGGUGGCGAAGGCGGCUCUCUGGACCGAUACUGACGCUGAGGCGCGAAAGCGUGGGGAGCAAACAGGAUUAGAUACCCUGGUAGUCCACGCUGUAAACGAUGUGUGCUAGACGUUGGGGAGCCUAGCUCUUCGGUGUCGCAGCUAACGCUUUAAGCACACCGCCUGGGGAGUACGGCCGCAAGGUUA
rnacentral:rRNA from 1 species